CGAUUAACCGAACGUUUCCACGGUCGUUUCACGAGCCGUUAUAAAGGCCGGCUUGUUAGACGAGAUGCUCCACGUAAGAGACAUACACCGAUUUUACACUCCGUCGGUGUUCGUGGUCGCGGUGCAAAACCGCGAACAUUUUUCGCGCCUCGAUGAAAAAGACGAGAAGAAGAAGAAGAAGAAGAAGAAGAAGAAAAAGAAGAGAAGAAAAAAGAAGCAGAAAAAAAGAAAUGGAUGCCUUCGAUCGCGACUACAAUGUUCUUGAUUCCUAUAUACCGGUAUGGGUGCGUGUGUGAAGAAGAGGUUGAGAAUCGUGUGCAAAGAGAAGAGAAGAAGUCACGAAUUGCUUUGUUGCCAAGUCCUCGUCUCCGAUGGAUUCUACAGAUGCUUCGAGAUAAAACCUGUGUGUCUUUGGAUAUAACACAUAUUUAU